GACGAACGCUGGCGGCGUGCUUAACACAUGCAAGUCGAACGGAAAGGCCCUGCUUUUGUGGGGUGCUCGAGUGGCGAACGGGUGAGUAACACGUGAGUAACCUGCCCUUGACUUUGGGAUAACUUCAGGAAACUGGGGUAAUACCGGAUAGGAGCUUCUGCCGGCUGGGGGGGGGUGGGAAGUUUCGGCGGUUGGGGAUGGACUCGCGGCUUAUCAGCUUGUUGGUGGGGUAGUGGCUUACCAAGGCUUUGACGGGUAGCCGGCCUGAGAGGGUGACCGGCCACAUUGGGACUGAGAUACGGCCCAGACUCCUACGGGAGGCAGCAGUGGGGAAUAUUGCACAAUGGGCGGAAGCCUGAUGCAGCAACGCCGCGUGCGGGAUGACGGCCUUCGGGUUGUAAACCGCUUUCGCCUGUGACGAAGCGUGAGUGACGGUAAUGGGUAAAGAAGCACCGGCUAACUACGUG
rnacentral:rRNA from 1 species